CGCCCUUAGAGUUUGAUCAUGGCUCAGGACGAACGCUGGCGGCGUGCCUAAUACAUGCAAGUCGAACGCAGCUUGCUUUGGUAAGAUGAGUGGCGAACGGGUGAGUAACACGUGGGUAACCUGCCUAUCAGAGGGGGAUAACACUUGGAAACAGGUGCUAAUACCGCAUAGAUUUCUUUCGCACGAAAAGAGAGGGAAGACGUACGUGUCACUGAUAGAUGGACCCGCGGUGCAUUAGCUAGUUGGUGAGGUAACGGCUCACCAAGGCCAUGAUGCAUAGCCGACCUGAGAGGGUGAUCGGCCACACUGGGACUGAGACACGGCCCAGACUCCUACGGGAGGCAGCAGUAGGGAAUCUUCGGCAAUGGACGAAAGUCUGACCGAGCAACGCCGCGUGAGUGAAGAAGGUUUUCGGAUCGUAAAACUCUGUUGUUAGAGAAGAAUAGGUAGGAGUGACUUCCUGCCAUGACGGUAUCUAACC
rnacentral:rRNA from 1 species